UACGUAGGGGGCAAGCGUUGUCCGGAUUUAUUGGGCGUAAGGAGCGUGUAGGCGGCUAGGUAGGUCCGUUGUGAAAACUCGAGGCUCAACCUCGAGACGUCGAUGGAAACCAUCUAGCUAGAGUCCGGAAGAGGAGAGUGGAAUUCCUGGUGUAGCGGUGAAAUGCGCAGAUAUCAGGAAGAACACCCGUGGCGAAGGCGGCUCUCUGGUACGUGACUGACGCUGAGACGCGAAAGCGUGGGGAGCGAAUGGG
rnacentral:rRNA from 1 species